rnacentral:rRNA from 1 species
GAUGAACGCUGGCGGCGUGCUUAAUACAUGCAAGUCGAACGAACGGACGAGAAGCUUGGUACUCUGAUGUUAACGGCGGACGGGAGAGUAACGCGUGGAUAACCUACCUAUAAGACAGGGAUAACUUCGGGAAACCAGUGCUAAUAACGGAUAAUAUUUUGAACCGCAUGGUUGAAAAGUGAAAGACGGUCUUGCUGUCACUUAUAGAUGGAUCCGCGCUGCAGUAGCGAGUUGGUAAGGUAACGGCUUACCAAGGCAACGGUGGAUAGCCGACCCGAGAGGGGGUAGCCCGCCACUGGGAGUGACACACGGUCUAGGCACCUACGGGCGGCCGAGGCAGGGACUCUUCCGCGAUGGGCGGAAUCCUGCCGGAGCGGCGCCGCGUGGAUGAUGAAGGUCUUCGGGUCGUAUAACUCUGUUAUGAUUGAAGACCAUUUGUGUAAGUGGCUGUGCUCAUCGUGACGGUACCUAAUCAGAAAGCCACGGCUAACUACGUG